rnacentral:tRNA from 1 species
CAGUUUAUAGCUUAUUUAAAGUGUGUUGUUUACAUCAAUAGGAAAUAUUUAAUUAUUAAUCUGA